rnacentral:rRNA from 1 species
GACGAACGCUGGCGGCGUGCUUAACACAUGCAAGUCGAACGGAAAGGCCCUGCUUUUGUGGGGUGCUCGAGUGGCGAACGGGUGAGUAACACGUGAGUAACCUGCCCUUGACUUUGGGAUAACUUCAGGAAACUGGGGCUAAUACCGGAUAGGAGCUCCUGCUGCAUGGUGGGGGUUGGAAAGUUUCGGCGGUUGGGGAUGGACUCGCGGCUUAUCAGCUUGUUGGUGGGGUAGUGGCUUACCAAGGCUUUGACGGGUAGCCGGCCUGAGAGGGUGACCGGCCACAUGGGGACGGGGAUACGGCCCAGAUUCCUACGGGAGGAAGCAGUGGGGAAUAUUGCACAAUGGGCGGAAGCCUGAGGCAGAAACGCCGCGUGCGGGAGGACGGCCUUCGGGUUGUAAACCGCUUUCGCCUGUGACGAAGCGUGAGGGACGGGAAUGGGGAAAGAAGCACCGGCUAACUACGG